rnacentral:lncRNA from 1 species
UGCCUGCCCAUUCCAAGGUGUGAACACAUUGUACACGCUCCUUUGUAUGGAAUGGUCAUUUUCUGCUCAUAUUCUGGAGGUGGCACAGAGACUUGUCCUGUGUUCUCGUCUUCCGAUGAAUCUGCACAUUUUGAAGAAGGCUAUGCUGCUCAAGUCUGUCAUCACUUGUUGACGUAACUUUUUAAUUAACAACUGACAAGAUGAAGAUAUCUGACUAUGCA